rnacentral:lncRNA from 10 species
GAGGCCUCCCCAGCCCUGUAGAACUGUGAGUCAGUUGAACCUCUUUCUUUUAUAAAUUACCCAGUCUUGGGUAUGUCCUUACAGCAGCGUGAGAACGACCUUCCCCGUUGACUCCAUCUCAGCCUCGGCCUCACGGCUUCAGUCUGUUCUUAUUUCCUCUCAUUCCUUCAGUGCGCUCAUGGGUCUGAUUCACAGAGCUGGAUCCUGAGGUCCCUCCUGUAGACUCACCUGUGACCUCGCCUGCCAAGGAGAUGCCCAGUGAUAUUUAACCCAUAACCAUCAGGCAAUUUGCACAAGCCAAUGAGUGGGAAAAAUUCAGAGAUACUAAGAAUGUUAGGUUUAAAUAG